ensembl:lncRNA
GUGUGUAUGCAUGUGUGUGUGUGUGUGUGUAUGUGUGUGUGUGUGUGUGUGUGUGUGUGGAAGGUGCUCAUGGGAAAGCCGAGGCUAUCCAGCAUGUGUGAUGGCAGGGCAAUGUGGCGCGAGGUAAUGGCUUUAAGGCAACACACCAGAACCGUGUGUGUGUGUGUGCUAUCCAGCAUGUGUGAUGGCAGGGCAAUGUGGCGCGAGGUAAUGGCUUUAAGGCAACACACCAGAACCGUGUGUGUGUGUGUGUGUGUAUGUGUGUGUGUGUGUGUGUGUGUGUGUGUUAAUCCCUUUGUCAUCCGUCCCUCUUAAUGUGUGGAUCUAGAUGCAGUGACGCUUGCAGCGUGUGUGUGUGUGAGUGUGUGUGUAAAUGCGUGUAUGAGUGUGUACAUGUGUGUGUGUGUGUGUGUGUGUGUGUGUGUGUGAAAAGGUACAUGUGUGUGUGAGUGUGUGUGUACAUGUGUGUGGGUUUGUGAGUGUGUACAGGUGUGUGUGAGUGUGUGUGUAAAUGUGUGUGUGUGUGUGUGUGUGUGUGUGUGAGUGUGUACAUGUGUGUGUGUGUGAGUGUGUGUGUGUGUGAGUGUGUACAUGUGUGUGUGAUUGUGUGCCAGCUGGCUAGAGCAGGAGCGCAUUAAAGCUCACACUCACAGCAGGCACUACUGAUCUGAUAGAGCUGACGACACACACACACACACACGCACACACACACACACACACCGUGACACCCCACGGUGAGACGGCGCUGUGUUUGAGUGUUCCGCUCCAGACCCGCUUCUUUGCAUUCCUUUACUAAUUCUACAUGAAUAAUUAUUUAAAUGUAUUCGUAUUCACACUCAUUUGAAUAUUAAUGAGAUUAUAAUGAGAUUCUGAUGAACACACAGUGAGCUCUGUGUUCGUAUUAUAUAACUCUGAGUCUCGCUACAGGUAGGAGUCCAAACCCUGGUUCUGGUUCUAGUUCUGGUUCUAGUUUGGGUUCUGGUUCUACAUUGGGUUCUGUUGAAAACGGUUGGUUUGGGGUUCUCUUUAACAGAUCUGUGGUGUGUUCCACAUCAGGUGUGUCAGCUCUCUGCUCUGACGCUGCGAUGUGAUUGGUUCAACUUGCCACGUUACUUACUUCCUGUUUGAGGUUAGGCAGAUCAAUAGAUAGAUAGAUAGAUAGAUAGAUAGAUGACUUUAUUAAUCCCUGAAGAAAAUUCACACUUUUUUAUUUUACAAUAAUAAUACUGAGAUAUCGCAGGUAUUGCAAUAUAUAUGUUUUAAGUUUAAAUUGUUUUUUACAAAAAUAUUUACAAACUGAUCAGAAACAGUUUUGUAGUAAAUUUAUAACCAAUAACUUUUUUGUAGUAAACUUUAAAGAUGGUAAAAAUAAAUAAAUAAAUAAAUAAAUAAAACAUUAAAAAAUCCUCAUUGUUAAAUUAUUUAUUUAUUUGUUUAUUUUUAUAUAAACUUUAUAGAUAUGUUUACAUUUUUCUUUAAACACAACACUUUAAACGCAGUUUUGCAAGACGCUUCUUGGCCAACCUUUUGUGAUUUUUUGUCAUAUAGCGUAUUCCUAAUAUAUGUAAAUAUGUAAAUUUUAUGCGAAAGUGAGCUUCCUCUUGAAUGUAGCCGAAUAAAGGUACAAAAUGAAAAAAGUUAAAAAAAAAAAAAAAGGCUUGUUAUCACGUCAGCUGAGCCGCUCGAUAACAGGCCGUCAUUGACCCGGUAAUGGCCUCGGUUGCCAUGGCAACACUGUCUCUGUAAUAAAAAGCCGGACGUUUUAACAUUUCUAAAUAAAACUUUAAAAUAAAAAUAGGAAUAAACAGAACUCGGUGUGAGAAACCCUGCAGCGGACGUGAAGCUCGCCUGCUGGAGGAAGCGAUAAAUAACUCGGAGUUUUAUAAACCGCUCUCACAGUUUUAAAGUCCUGUUCUAUAACGUUUAAAAUGUCACCAGGGGGCCAUAACUCGGGGGGGACACAAAAAAACCCCAACCCUGCCAGUGUGUCACUUCCUCCUGCGGGGUGUAAUAAAGUUUUAUACGUUUGAACAGAGCGCGAGACGACGACUACGACCACGCAGAUCUGCAGAUCAGGACUUAAUCAUCAUCAUCGGGUGGGUUUAGUUUUAUUGCUGCUAAUUAACGCUUCAUUAUUUAAUUAGAAUUAAAUUUGCAGUCGGAGAGAAACUUGACCAGAUUAUAGAGCAGUAUAACGGGAGGAAAAAAAACCAGAAUUAGUUCAGAAAGAGCAGAGCGUUCAGUCUGGAAAAUUUAUUUCAUUCGCUAAGGUCGCUAAUAAAUAAAUAAAUAAAUAAACAAAUAUAUAAAUAAACAAACAAACAAAUAAAUAAAUAAAUCUUACGGCCACCAGUUUAACUUCAGGGAGAAUUGACAAAAUUCACCAAAUUUCUAAAAAGUCACCAAACAUCUUGGACCGUCUUUUUUUCAAACUAUAAAUAGAAU